rnacentral:rRNA from 1 species
CGUAGAGAAAUCGAGUCUUAAUAGGGCGUUUAGUUGCUGGGUAUAGACCCGAAACCAGGCGAUCUAUCCAUGAGCAGGUUGAAGGUUGGGUAACACUAACUGGAGGACCGAACCCACUGUCGUUGAAAAGCCAGGGGAUGACUUGUGGAUAGGGGUGAAAGGCUAAUCAAGCCUGGUGAUAGCUGGUUCUCCCCGAAAGCUAUUUAGGUAGCGCCUCGGACGAAUACCAUAGGGGGUAGAGCACUGUUUCGGCUAGGGGGUCAUCCCGACUUACCAAACCGAUGCAAACUCCGAAUACCUAUGAGUACUAUCCGGGAGACAGACUGCGGGUGCUAACGUCCGUAGUCAAGAGGAAAACAAUCCAGACCGCCAGCUAAGGCCCCAAAAUCAUAGUUAAGUGGGAAACGAUGUGGGAAGGCAUAGACAGCUAGGAGGUUGGCUUAGAAGCAGCCACCCUUUAAAGAAAGCGUAAUAGCUCACUAGUCGAGUCGGCCUGCGCGGAAGAUGUAACGGGGCUAAAA